GCAGACCUCACCACACCCACUGCCUGGACCUCCAACUGCCGACUGGCCAACACCUUUGAUAAACCUGGAAAGGAGCAGGGCAAAGAAAAUGGCUGUCAGGAAACAUACUCAGGUAAGUAGAAUUACCACCUCUACCCAGGGGUUCUACUUACUUCCCCUUAACCUUUAAUCUUUAAACCCCGCGUGUCUCCUUUCUCUCGCGCCAUCGUUCCUGGAACCCUGACGAGGCACGCUGGAGACCAGCGCUGGACCUUGACCCUCCUCGUUGACUGACCCUUGGCCGUCUCCCAGGACCACAACCUUGACUCUGCUGGGGAAUGGAUUGUCCAAGGAGUACCAUCCAGACACAAGAAGAAGACCAGCUGGGACCAAUUUAGGAUCCACAAAAGGUUAGUCAAAGCCUCACCAAACCUACAGUGAAUAUAAAAAACACAGUGUGACAGAGAGAGAAUGAAUUCUAGUCAACAAUCUCCCUCCCGACCUGUGAGGGCGCUGUGCAACAGGAACAGUGUGCCCCGGACUGGAUGGUUGGGCAGUUCAUUCCAGGGUCAGUCUGAAGCCAGCCAUCCAAGAAGGGGGCGAAGUCACAAUACCAGAAGUCAUCACCUUAAUGCGACGGCUAAACUAUCCGGGAGCUGUAGCGAGACGCCAGUAUUAAACCUGGACUACACUUCACCACUGUACGCCAUUGUAUUUCACCACCUGCACCAAGAGCACUUAUUCUGGACUUUGUGAACGUGCUGUGUGUGUGUGUGUGUGUUUAUUCAUGCUUUAUUAUUUCGGGACUGAGAUCGUGUUUACGAAUUGAGUGAUACACAUUGUUGUGUAAAGCCCGUUCAUUAUUAUUUCAGUGUUGCAGGCACACAACCCAGCCUAUUAAAGAGCUA